UUGUUCGUCCGUCCCGAGCGAGUCCGUACUCUGGGAUAGCAUGUGAAGUGUGUAAUAAUAACCAUGACUAGAGGCAGACUCGUUUGGGAAGGGCGGUG
rnacentral:pre_miRNA from 1 species